CAAAUACGUUUUAUUUUUAAUAAAAAUUAUGGCCUGUAGCAUAUCACGACACUGCUGCCACCUACAUUCUUUUUGGUUUAGACUGUAAGCUAACAGUUGCAACAGGUCUCGUAUUGCCGGAGCACCACCAGCUUCCCGUGAACACAUGUGUGCCGCGCUUACAUGUUUAUCGUGUAUUGUGUGCGUUUAUUGCGUGCUUAUCGUACGCGACAUUCGUCGACUGGGCAUUUUCCGCGUGUUGGGGCGUUCUCCUGCCUUGAUCCAGUGGCGGAUGAUGGUCGUUGUUCGUUGCCACUCAACACAGCCUCACGGGACGCACAGCUUUGUGUCCGCGCUCAAAAGUGCUUUCUUGCUUCGUUCAUCGAUUACUCACGUUGAUCGAGUGAUCGAGUGUACUUCCGAAGACAAUCCGCGUCCGAGUGUUUUGACAAGCGGCGACCGCGGUUCCACAGGAGCGGAAGCUUGAGCCUUUUGACGAGCGACUGUGCCAAACUUGGGAACCGUCGUAUUGGCACAGCGAGGAUGAUCAACAGAUACCCGAUAGGCAGCGAUGAGAGCUGUUCAUGGCACCGACACAGAGGACAGAUUGCAGUACAAGAUAGGAGCAUACUUCCUGCAAGCCCGGGCAAGCCAUAAUGAGUGGUUUCAAAUACAGCAACUGUACCACCACAACAGUGCAGCACAGGAGAGCCUAUCGUCAGUGCCGCGUCGAGAAAUUAAAUAAAAAAGCACUUACUCCUGG